rnacentral:rRNA from 1 species
GGACAACCUACCCUAUGGAGGGGGAUAACCCCGGGAAACUGGGGAUAAUACCCCAUAGACUAUGGAUGCUGGAAUGCUCUGUAGCCAAAAGGUCAGCCGCCAUAGGAUGGGUCUGCGGCCGAUUAGGUAGUUGUUGGGGUAACGGCCCAACAAGCCUGUAAUCGGUACGGGUUGUGGGAGCAAGAGCCCGGAGAUGGAUUCUGAGACACGAAUCCAGGCCCUACGGGGCGCAGCGGGCGCGAAAACUUUACAAUGCGGGAAACCGUGAUAAGGGAACUCCGAGUGCCCGUUAAAUCGGGCUGUCCAUCUGUGUAAAUAACAGGUGAAGAAAGGGCCGGGCAAGACCGGUGCCAGCCGCCGCGGUAAUACCGGCGGCUCGAGUGGUGGCCACUAUUACUGGGCUUAAAGCGUUCGUAGCUGGUUUGUUAAGUCUCUGGGGAAAUCUUCCGGCUUAACCGGAAGGCGUCUCAGGGAUACUGGCAGACUAGGGACCGGAAGAGGUGAGGGGUACUCCAGGGGUAGGAGUGAAAUCCUGUAAUCCUUGGGGGACCACCUGUGGCGAAGGCGCCUCACCAGGACGGCUCCGACAGUGAGGGACGAAAGCUGGGGGGGCAAACCGGAUUAGAUACCCGGGUAGUCCCAGCCGUAAACGAUGUGCGUUAGGUGUAUCGGUGACCACGAGUCACCGAGGUGCCGAAGAGAAAUCGUGAAACGUACCGCCUGGGAAGUACGGUCGCAAGGCUGAAACUUAA